AUACGUAGGUGACAAGCGUUAUCCGGAUUUACUGGGCGUAAAGGGCGUGUAGGCGGUCUUGCAAGUCAGAAGUGAAAUUCCUGAGCUCAACUCGGGCGCUGCUUCUGAAACUGCAGGACUUGAGUGCUGGAGGGGAUAGCGGAAUUCCUAGUGGAGCGGUAAAAUGCGCAGAUAUUAGGAAGAACACCGGUGGCGAAGGCGGCAAUCUGGACAGUAACGGACGCUGAGGCGCGAAAGCGUGGGGAGCAAACAGGAUUAGAUACCCUGGUAGUCCACGCCGUAAACGAUGAUUACUAGGUGUUGGUUGUCAUAGACAAUCGGUGCCGCAGCAAACGCAAUAAGUAAUCCACCUGGGGAGUACGUUCGCAAGAAUGAAACUCAAAUGAAUUGACGGGG
rnacentral:rRNA from 1 species